CACGCCGUAAACGAUGUCAACUAGCCGUUGGGUUCCUUGAGAACUUAGUGGCGCAGCUAACGCAUUAAGUUGACCGCCUGGGGAGUACGGCCGCAAGGUUAAAACUCAAAUGAAUUGACGGGGGCCCGCACAAGCGGUGGAGCAUGUGGUUUAAUUCGAAGCAACGCGAAGAACCUUACCUGGCCUUGACAUGCUGAGAACUUUCCAGAGAUGGAUUGGUGCCUUCGGGAACUCAGACACAGGUGC
rnacentral:rRNA from 1 species